ensembl:lncRNA
CAGAGACUGAAGAUGGUUUGGAGAAGUUAGAGACUGUGGUGGGAGUUUUCAGGUGUGUCAGGAAACAUUUAGGCAUACAGACAGAAGGUGGCUGCUUUGGCCAGUCAUUAUUCUGCACCAGAGUGCUGGGAUUUCCCUUCAGCUCUUGUUUUUACUCGAUUUGAUGACUUCUUGGCUCAUGUUUUACACUUGAAAGUAAGCAGUACAUCUUUUUAUUGAUAAUAUGCACUUUCACUUUCAGCUACCUUUUUAUUUCAUGUAAGUUAUAAUGUUUUUACUUUAAUUUUUGUGGGAAAGUAACAUUUUGAAAAAUGAAUGUUUUCCAGGCCCUUUUCUCCACUAUGCUGGAGUUCCAAAGGUUGGAGAAGCUGGUUUUUGGAGGUCUCAGAGGAAGGGUUUACACUGAGCAGGUCUCUCGACUACAUACAGAGUUUCUCCAGCUCUGCAAAACCAUAAGGGAUCAAGAAUACAAUCCACCUGACCUGACUGCUCAGAUUUUUCAGGAUUGGAAUCAGUUUUCAAACUGGUCGCUGUGCUCAAAGCCCUCUUGGAAAGAGACAUCAUAAAGGAAACAUUUACUCCCAAUUUCUCCAAAUUGAUUAAGCUUUUUGGAGAUGAGCUGGACAAAGGCAAACAACUGCUUGAUUCUCAUCUUGAGCAGGUAAAGUAGUUGUUUUUGAACAGAAUUUUGUUCUUGUUCAAAAAGGACGUUGUGUAAUUCAU